AGAUUGAACGCUGGCGGCAGGCCUAACACAUGCAAGUCGAGCGGUAGAGAGGUGCUUGCAUCUCUUGAGAGCGGCGACGGGUGAGUAAUGCCUAGGAAUCUGCCUAGUGGUGGGGGAUAACGGUUCGGAAACGGACGCUAAUACCGCAUACGUCCUACGGGAGAAAGCGGGGGACCUUCGGGCCUCGCGCCAUUAGAUGAGCCUAGGUCGGAUUAGCUAGGUUGGUGAGGUAAUGGCUCACCAAGGCGACGAUCCGUAACUGGUCUGAGAGGAUGA
rnacentral:rRNA from 1 species